GACGAACGCUGGCGGCGUGCUUAACACAUGCAAGUGGAGCGACGAACCAGGGCUUGCCCUGGGGCAGAGCCGCGAACGGGUGAGUAACACGUGGGUAACGUGCCCCGAUGACUGGGACAACCCGGGGAAACCCGGGCUAAUACCGGAUAUGCCCCCUCACAUCUGUGAGGUGUGUAAAGGAAGCUUCGGCCUCCGCAUCGGGAUCGCCCGCGGCCAUUAGCUGUUGGUGAGGUAAUGGCUCACCAAGGCUUCUAUGGUAGCUGGUCUGAGAGGACGAUCAGCCACACUGGGACUGAGACACGGCCCAGACUCCUACGGGAGGCAGCAGUGGGGAAUCUUGCGCAAUGCG
rnacentral:rRNA from 1 species